ensembl:lncRNA
GUCCGAGGGUUGCUUGAUUUGAUCUGCGCAGAAUUUGUAAUUUGUAUUUGAUCUGCGCAGAAUUUGUAAUUGAACCAUAGGGUAAGCAGACUUGCGAGAACCUUGGUUCCACCCUGGAUGAAAGUCCAAGGUUUGGUUGUAAUUUUGGUUUGGGGCACCAUUUCUUUGCCGCGGUUUGUCCUGUCUAAUGUCUCCAUGUCUCAUAUUUGUGGCAUGCAUGGGUCAGGGGUCUUUUCUUGUUGCCCUAAGCACAUGGCACGGGAAAGGAGUUCUGCCAUGUGUCACGGGUUAGAAUGUGUUAUGUUGGAGUCCCCCGAGGCUGCUUUUCUGAACUCGAACCACUGCUGCAGCCCUUACAGCUGAGCCUGGCCCAUGUAGUUUAUAAUGUCAGACAGACUGCCAGAUCCGGACAGUGACCCAAAGUCUCCAAAGAAGAUUACGAGGCACCUCAGUUCCUGCACCUGGACCAGUGAGCGAGAUGCUCAGAUGUGAUACCUGCCGCCUGCCAGAACCUAGCCGAGACUGUGGACAAAGCUGCUGGACACUGGAAAAUUGAUUACACCCCUUUGCCUAGACAAAACAAGGUCAGUCUUUUCCAUGUCCCUCUUCCACAGAGAGGAAAAAACUCUCACAGUAUAGGCCUGGCGAGGAUUGCUGGUCUUUGAGACACCUGCCUCCAGCGGUAAUGGAGAAACUUGGGUUUGGCUAACUGUAUAUAGACUGGCUUCUGUCACUUUUUAGUAGAUUCGGAUAAAGUAUACUCUUCUCAGAUCUCUGAAAUAUUACUGGUUGUCAGCUUGACAGCAUCAGGCAGUCAGAUCCACUAUAGACUAGUCAGUAUGUUAGCUAAUAAAAUAGUGACUAUCUACUGUUCAGGCACAAGUUCAAAAGUUUUUAAGUUUAUUUUGGUUGUCAUCUAAGUACAAACUUAAAGGACUUUUCAUCAGGCCAAAGGCACCUCUGUCCAAUCCAUACCUGGCACUCUGGACAGAAGAAAAAUGUACAUGCUUAUAGCCCAAAUCUGUAGUUUUUGCUAAGUAUGUUCCUGCUGUUUAAACAGAUAUCCAAAUAUCUGCUUUUUCUACACUGUGGGCUUCAAUAAAUAAGUUUUAACCUCUGUUCCUAGUUUAAACGUGUCUUAAACAGGUUUCUGCUUCUGGCAGACAUCUGAGUAUCAGUUGCUGACUACAGGCUGUUCCUAAGUAGACUGCGAGCCCUAGACUUGCUAUGGAUGUGAACCAGUCCAGCUGAUGUGGACACCCCCUGUCUCUGCAACAGUGUCUGCUAACCAGAAGCCCCUGAUGGAUUCCCCAUUGCCUAAAUUCCUUUUUGCUUUUGACUAGCAUUUCAACCUUCUGGGGUCCCUAACUUCGUCCCAAAGUCAGCAGGAAGCAGUUUGGAAAAGAAUUUCGCCGUCCAUUUUCCCUGGUUAAAAUGCUAAGUCAAAGGGAACUCCCUUGCAUGGGGAUGCCAGUAUCUAUCACUCCCUGAUGGGGAUGCUAGAGAGACAGCAAUUCCAUGAUUGGAAUUUACAAAAAAGAAAAUGGGGGAAUGAAGGAACCAGCUCCCUUUUGGCAGCCAUUACAGCCGAACACAUGCUUGCCAUAAACCUGCCUUGGUCACGUAGAGGUCAGAUGCCUGUCUCGUGACAAGGAACCCAUCAGAAGUUAGUCACUAGAAAGUCAGAUGCCUGUCUCAUGACAAGGAGCCAAUCGGAAGUUAGCUGGUGGCGCUAUGCUUUACGACCCUGGGUGUGCUUUACGGACAAGCGCACAGCAAUGACGUAGAGAGCAUAGCAACCACCCUGGGAGGGCCUAUGAGCCAUAACAACCAGUUGACCAAUCAACACAGGGCAAGCCCUCCAAGCCUGGAGGCACACCAAUCGUAAGCCUGUGCGUACCCCUAGACACUCCCCUUACGCUGCCCUAUAAGAUCUUUGGGGAGACCUUAGGAGCCGUCUUUUUCUAGCUGUCUGCCAUGGCGGGUGGGUGAAAGACCCGAGCUAACAUGGGGUUAGUUCGUUAAAUUACAAUAAAGCCUCGUGCAGUUUGCAGCAAGCUCUCGAAUCCGCCUGGUGAUUGGGGUGACCGCGAACCUG